UACGUAGGUGGCAAGCGUUGUCCGGAUUUACUGGGCGUAAAGGGCGUGCAGGCGGUUUGUUAAGUCUAGGGUGAAAGCUCCCGGCUCAACUGGGAGAGGUCCUUGGAUACUGGCGAACUUGAGGGAUGCAGAGGAAAGUGGAAUUCCCGGUGUAGUGGUGAUAUGCGUAGAUAUCGGGAGGAACACCGGCGGCGAAGGCGGCCCUCUGGACGGUGACUGACGCUGAGACGCGAAAGCGUGGGGAGCAAACAGG
rnacentral:rRNA from 1 species